rnacentral:rRNA from 1 species
UCCAGUUGAUCCUGCUGGCGGCUGCGGCUCUCUGGUUUGCACUUAGACAUGCAAGUCUUUCGAGAGAAGGCGAACUGCUCAGUAACACGUAGCUAAUCUACCCUUAAGUCAAGGAUAACCUCGGGAAACUGAGGAUAAUACUUGAUAGAAGAUAUACCCUGGAAAGAUUUAUCUUCCAAAUUCGAGCUUAAGGACGAGGCUGCGGCGGAUUAGGUUGUUGGCGGGAUAAUAGCCCACCAAGCCUGUGAUCCGUAAGGGCUCUUAGCGGAGAGGCCCUGAGAGGGAAUCUGAGACACUAUUCCCAGCCCUACGGGGUGCAGCAGGUAGGAAUCCUUUGCAAUGCGCGCAAGCGUGACAAAGCGAGCCAUAGUGCUUUUCAAUUGAAAAGCUUUUGCUAAAUCUAAAAAUUUUGGCGAAUAAGGACUGGGUAAGACUAGUGCCAGCCGCCGCGGUAAUCCUAGCGGUCCAAGUCGCAGCCAUCAUUAUUGGGUCUAAAACAUCCGUAGCUUGCUUAAUAAGUUCCCUGUGAAAUCUUAACUCUUAAGGUUAAGGCGUGCAAGGAGUACUGCUAAGCUAGAGACUGGAAGACGUAAGAAGUAUGCUCAAAGUAGCGGUAAAAUGUGUUAAUCUUGAGCAGACUCACAACAGCGAAGGCAUCUUACGAGGACAGUUCUGACAGUAAAGGAUGAAGGCUAGGGGCGCGAAGUGGAUUAGAUACCCAUGUAGUCCUAGCAGUAAACACUGCGCACUAAACAUCAGUACCUCCUCGAGAGGCAUUGGUGCUGAAGAGAAGUCGAAGAGUGCGCUACCUGGGAAGUAUAGCCGCAAGGCCGAAACUUAAAGGAAUUGGCGGGGAGACACUACAACAGGUGACGCGUGCGGUUCAAUUAGAUUCUACACCGUGAACCUCACCAGGAGCGACAGCAGAAUGAAGGUCAGUCUGAAGGGCUUACCUGACACGCUGAGAGGAGUUGCAUGGCCGACGUCAGCCUGUGCUGUGAAGUGACCUGUUAAAUCAGGUAACAGGCAAGACCCACAUGUAUAUUUACUAUGCGUACAAUAUACAGAUUGCCUUAGUAAUGAGGAUGAAAGUGUGGGCUACGUUAGGUGAGUACAGCCUGAAUCCCCUGGGCGACACGCGCGCGUCAACGGUAGAUACAGUGAGAUGCAACACCGAAAGGUGAAGCCAAUCCCAUAAAGUCUAUCUCAGUUCAGAUUGAGGUUUGCAACCCAACCUCAUGACGCCGGAAUCUGUAGUAAUCGUUUGUUAGCAGCGAACGGUGAAUAUGUCCCUGUCUCUUGCACACACUGCCCGUCAAACCAACCGAGUUUAGUUAUGAUGAAACUUUUCGAAGGAGAAUCUUAGCUAGACAAGGUAGGUU